rnacentral:rRNA from 1 species
CCUUGAGGCGUGGCUUCCGGAGCUAACGCGUUAAGUCGACCGCCUGGGGAGUACGGCCGCAAGGUUAAAACUCAAAUGAAUUGACGGGGGCCCGCACAAGCGGUGGAGCAUGUGGUUUAAUUCGAUGCAACGCGAAGAACCUUACCUGGUCUUGACAUCCACGGAAGUUUUCAGAGAUGAGAAUGUGCCUUCGGGAACCGUGAGACAGGUGCUGCAUGGCUGUCGUCAGCUCGUGUUGUGAAAUGUUGGGUUAAGUCCCGCAACGAGCGCAACCCUUAUCCUUUGUUGCCAGCGGUCCGGCCGGGAACUCAAAGGAGACUGCCAGUGAUAAACUGGAGGAAGGUGGGGAUGACGUCAAGUCAUCAUGGCCCUUACGACCAGGGCUACACACGUGCUACAAUGGCGCAUACAAAGAGAAGCGACCUCGCGAGAGCAAGCGGACCUCAUAAAGUGCGUCGUAGUCCGGAUUGGAGUCUGCAACUCGACUCCAUGAAGUCGGAAUCGCUAGUAAUCGUGGAUCAGAAUGCCACGGUGAAUACGUUCCCGGGCCUUGUACACACCGCCCGUCACACCAUGGGAGUGGGUUGCAAAAGAAGUAGGUAGCUUAACCUUCGGGAGGGCGCUUACCACUUUGUGAUUCAUGACUGGGGUGAAGUCGUAACAAGGUAACCGUAGGGGAACC